rnacentral:rRNA from 1 species
UACGUAGGUGGCAAGCGUUGUCCGGAUUUACUGGGCGUAAAGAGCGCGCAGGCGGUCGAAUAAGUCGAAUGUGAAAGCCCCCGGCUUAACUGGGGAGGGUCAUUCGAUACUGUUCGACUUGAAGGCAGGAGAGGGCAGCAGAAUUCCCGGUGUAGUGGUGAAAUGCGUAGAUAUCGGGAGGAACAUCAGUGGCGAAGGCGGCUGCCUGGCCCGUUAUUGACGCUGAGGUGCGAAAGCGGGGGGAGCAAACGGG